GGGCAGUUAACUCAGUGGGAGAGUGUUUCCUUUACACGGAAAGGGUCACAGGUUCAAAUCCUGUACUGCCCA
rnacentral:tRNA from 1 species